rfam:Ovis aries breed Texel chromosome 6, whole genome shotgun sequence.
UCCCUGGUGGCUCAGAGGUUAAAGCGUCUGCCUCCAAUGCAGGAGACCCGGGUUCGAUCCCUGGGUCGGGAA